rnacentral:misc_RNA from 1 species
UAGAAAGGAGGGCAUCCAAGACAUAAGGGGCAAAUGUAAGAAUGCAGCCUUUAACAGUUAACACAUUAUCAUCUUCUUUCUCCUUUCUCUGCUCCUUUAAACACAUUGCUUCUCUCUUACACACUCUCCAUCCUCCAUAACUAUCUCUUCUUUCUCUCUCUAUCUCUCUCCAUUUCUCCAUAAAUAAUCUGACACACGGCAGUUUAUUCACCAGCUUCAACUCUUUCUCUCCCAAAUGUACUUUCACUGGGGUUUCUUCCUCACACCAACCCUUUCUCUCUCUUGUUCUUGAUCUCAUCCGUUGCACUCAAGAACCUCUCUUUUAAUUUUUUUUUCUUUUUCGUUCCUUCAAGAAGUUAUCAGUAUACAAAUGGGUUUUGGUUUUUGGUUUCUUUUAGCUUUGCUUUAAAAGGUCAAUAUACUAGAAACCAAAGCAUAAGGCAAAACUAGAAAAAGAAAAGAAAAGAAAAAGCAAAAAAAAAAAAAAAAAAAGAAAAAAGAUCACCAUGUUGGAUCUCAAUGUUGAUAUCAUCUCUAGUGAGUCUUCUUGUGAUGGUCACCACGAUAAUAACAAGAACAAGAAUAUGGUAAUAAUAAGCAGAGAGCUAGAGAAGAAGUCCAUCCCAGCAGAAGAGGCUGCUUCCAGGACUCAAAUGGAGGAUUCCGGCACAUCAAACUCCUCCAUCAUCAUCAACUCAGAAGAAGCUUUAACCAAUCCAGGAGACGAGAAUUCCUCCAACUCUGCAUUGAUUUUUGAUAUCUUGAAGAAAGAGAAAAAUGAUGCCAAACACACCAAUAAUGCUUUGAAAGAAAUUAACCCAUUUCGAGAUUUCACUACCCAACAACUUUUCCCUGAGAAAAGUGGGCUUGAAUUGGAUUUGCAGUCCGGAUUGUCCAAGAUAAGGCCUCAGUGGUUGAAAUUAUCGCAGAUGGAGCCUAGUGCUGAAGCAGAGCUCAGAAUUGUGCAGCAAAAGCAGCAACAAAUGAGGAAGAGCAGGCGAGGACCAAGGUCUAGGAGCUCUCAUUAUCGAGGAGUAACAUUUUAUAGGAGAACUGGCCGCUGGGAGUCUCAUAUAUGGGAUUGUGGGAAGCAAGUCUAUCUAGGUGGAUUUGACACUGCACAUGCAGCUGCUCGGUGAGCUCUUGAUCCCUUAUUCACUAUUUUUUUUUU